CCUACGGGCGGCAGCAGUAGGGAAUCUUUCACAAUGGGCGAAAGCCUGAUGGAGCAACGCCGCGUGCAGGAUGAAGGCCUUCGGGUUGUAAACUGCUUUUAUAAGCGAGAAAUAUGAUGGUAACUUAUGAAUAAGGAUCGGCUAACUACGUUCCAGCAGCCGCGGUCAUACGUAGGAUCCGAGCAUUAUCCGGAGUGACUGGGUGUAAAGAGUUGCGUAGGUGGCAUAAUAAGUAGCUAGUGAAAUCUGGUGGCUCAACCAUUCAGACUAUUAGCUAAACUGUUAAGCUCGAGACCGUUAGGGGUAACUGGAAUUUCUAGUGUAGGAGUGAAAUCCGUAGAUAUUAGAAGGAACAUCAAUAGCGUAGGCAGGUUGCUGGGACGGUUCUGACACUAAGGCACGAAAGCGUAGGGAGCAAACAGGAUUAGAUACCCGAGUAGUC
rnacentral:rRNA from 1 species